GAUUCCAUCAACGCCUUGACUCAUGAUUUGAACUAUCCAGUCCUGAGGAAAAACAAAAACAUCGAGGCUUUUCUGAACCGAUUUGAAAAGGUGGUGAAUGAGCUGCGGGAGCUGCAGGUGAAGCUUGAAGACUUUGAAAAAGUGAAGUUGAUUGGAAGAGGAGCUUACGGAGAAGUGCAGCUGGUUCGUCACAAGGCCUCUAAGAAGGUUUACGCCAUGAAGCAGCUCAGCAAGUUUGAGAUGAUCAAGAGGUCAGAUUCAGCCUUCUUCUGGGAGGAGAGGCACAUCAUGGCGUUUAACAACAGUCCUUGGAUAGUCCAGCUCUGCUGUGCUUUCCAAGACAAUCACCACCUUUAUAUGGUGAUGGAGUUCAUGCCCGGAGGAGACUUGGUCACGCUCACCAUCAACUACGACAUCCCCGAGAAGUGGGCUCGGUUCUACACGGCUGAAGUGGUGCUGGCGCUGGAUGCCAUCCACUCCUUGGGCUUCAUCCACCGGGACAUUAAACCUGACAACAUGCUGCUGGACCAAAACGGACACGUCAAACUGGCCGACUUCGGCACGUGCCUGAGGAUGGACUCGACAGGUAUGGUGAACUGUGACACAGCUGUAGGCACACCGGACUACAUCUCCCCUGAGGUGCUUCAGUCUCAGGCUGGUGAUGGAAACUACGGCAGGGAGUGCGACUGGUGGUCUCUGGGAGUUUUUAUCUACGAGAUGCUAGUUGGUGAAACUCCUUUUUAUGCCGAGUCUCUCAUCGGGACUUAUGGGAAGAUCAUGAACCACCAGAACUCCCUCAGCUUUCCAGAUGAUGUGGAGAUGUCUUCAGAUGCCAAGAAUCUCAUCUGUGCUUUUCUCACUGACAGGAAGGUUCGUCUGGGCCGCACCGGAGUGGAUGAGAUCAAACGUCACCCCUUCUUCAAGAACGACCAGUGGACUUUUGACAACAUCCGUGACACUGUGGCCCCAGUUGUGCCGGAGCUCCACAGUGACAUAGACACGAGUAACUUUGAUGACAUAGAGGUGGAAAAAGGAGAUGCGGAGACCUUUCCUCCACCUAAAGCGUUCGUGGGCAACCAGUUACCUUUUAUUGGCUUCACCUAUUUCAAAGAAGAUCAGUUGCUGAAAGGAAUUAGCAGCAGCUCUGUGGAGGAUUCAGAGAACUGUAAGGAAAUCUGUAAAGACAAGGAAAACUCCUUGGACGGUCAAAAAGAGCUGCAGAAGAAGUUAAAUCAGCUGGAGGAGCAGCUAGAUAAUGAGAUGCAGGCCAAAGAUGAGCUGGAGCAAAAGUGCAAAAAUGCUACCAACCGUUUAGAUAAGCUGGUCAAAGAGCUGGAUAAGGAGAUGAACAGCAGGCAGAAAGUCGAAGCCUCGCUGAGGCAGCUGGAGAGAGAGCGAGCUCUGCUGCAGCAGCAGAGCGGAGAGAGUCUGCGCAAAGCCGAGAUCGAAGUGGACAGGAAACGCAUCUUGGAGAACGAAUUGAACAACCUGAGGGACCAGCUGGAGGAUCUGAAAAAGAGAAACCAGCACUCUAACGAGAAGAACAUGCAGCUCCAGAAGCAGCUGGAGGAGGCCAACGCCGCGCACCAGGACGAGCAGGAAGUGGCGGCGCGGCUGAGGAAGUGUCAGGCCGAGGCGCAGAAACACGCCCAGAGCCUGGAGGUCAGCCUCAGGGAGGCGCAGGAAGAGUGCGGCCAGCUGAAAGGCAGCAGGACAGAGCUGGAGAAGCAGCUGAGGGAGCUGCAGGCGGAGCUGGAGGAGGCGAGAAGGGACCGAAGCUUCGGGACAGAAACGAUUACAGAUCUGCAGGGACAAAUUUCUGGCUUGCAAGAGGAGCUGAAGGAGGGGAAGUCUGCUCUUUCCAAGGUCCAAACCGAAAACAAGGAGCUGCAGGGGAAUCUGAGCGACCUUGAAAAGGAAAAAAACAACCAAGAAAUCGACCUGACGUACAAGCUGAAGUCCCUCCAGCAGAGUCUGGAGAAGGAGGAGGCAGAACACAAGGCCACGAAAGCAAAGCUGGCGGACAAAAACACCAUCUAUGAGUCCAUCGAGGAGGCAAAAUCUGCAGCUUUGAAAGAGAUGGAGAGCACCCUGCAGGAGGAGCAAAGCAUGAAGCUGCAGGUGGAGGCGAAGCUGCUGCAGCUGGAAAAGGAGCACUCCAUGUUGGACUGCGACUACAAACGAGCACAGCACAAGCUGGACGAGCUGCAGGCGCAGAAGGAGAAACUUUCUGAUGAGGUGAAGAACCUCACGCUCCGUCUGGACGAUGAGAUCCACAAGCAAAGUUUGAUCCAGAGCGAGCUGAAGAUGCAGGUGAAGCAGGUGUCGGUGUUCAGCACCUCGGAGAAACAGCUCAAACAGGAGCUCAACCAUCUGCUGGAGGUGAAGCAGAGCCUGGAGAAACACAACCAGGAGCUGCGCAGAGAAAAGCAGGAGGCUGACGGCCAGCUGAAGGAACUGAAGGACCAGCUGGAGACAGAACAGCAUUUCACAACCCUUUACAAGACGCAGACUCGUGAGCUGAAGGACGAGUGCGAUGAGAAGAACAAGCUGGUCAAAAAGCUGCAGCAGCAAAUGGCAGAAUACAACGAAGAAAGGGAUUCUCUGGCAGCUCAGCUGGAAAACAGUUUGACCAAAGCGGAUUCGGAGCAGCUGGCUCGAUCCGUCAUCGAGGAGCAGUUCUCCCUCCUGGAGAAGGAAAAGAUCAUGAAGGAGCUGGAGCUCAACGACAUGAUGGCGAGACACAAGCAGGAGCUCAGUGAGAAGGACUCCACCAUCAGCUCGCUGGAAGAGUCGAACCGCACUCUGACGGUGGACGUGGCCAACCUGGCCAGCGAGAAGGAAGAGCUGAACAACAAGCUGAAAGAACUGCAGCAAGAACUCCAGAAGGCCAAGGAGGAAGAGAAGCAUCUGAAUUCUGUGAAAGUUUCAUUUGAAAAGCAACUGCAAUAUGAAAGAACGCUUAAAAUCCAGGCGGUGAACAAGCUUGCUGAGGUGAUGAACAGGAAAGAGUCGGUGCGGGUCGGCCAUCGAGGCAUCGACUCCGAGGUACACAAGAAGGAGAAGGAGAACAGGAAGCUGCAGCUGGAGCUGAAAGCGGAGAGGCAGAAGUUUAACAGCACCAUCAUCAAAUUCCAGAGGGACAUGAAUGAAAUGCAGGCGCUGAUGGCAGAGGAGAGCCACUUACGCCAGGAGCUUCAGAUGGCGGUGGACAGUAAAGACAGCGACAUCGAGCAGCUCCGGUGUCAGCUCACCUCCCUCAGCGUUCACUCUCUGGACUCCAUCAGCAGCGGCAACGAUUUGGAGCUAGCUGACGGAUACCCAGUGCGCAUAACUCACUCUAGCACCUCAGAAUCAAUGUCCUUCACCUACCAGCGCACACACAAAUCUGUCCGUGUCGACACACGGCCCAACCUUGGCUCGGCUCGAGCGCUCUUUGACUCUGGCUCUGAGGAUGAAGAGGAGCCUGACGAGCCGGAGGGGCGGGGCACGGGUCCUCUGGCUCUCACCUAUAAACAGACCUCUGAGCCUGAUCCUGGAGACUCCAGACUGGAAGGCUGGAUUUCACUUCCUACCAAGAACACCAAGCGCUUUGGCUGGGACCGAAAAUAUGUGGUUGUAAGCAGCAAGAAAAUACUGUUUUACAACAGCGAGCAGGACCGAGAGCAGGCCAACCCUUUCAUGACCCUGGACAUCGAUAAGCUGUUUCAUGUUCGACCUGUCACUCAAACUGAUGUGUACCGAGCAGACGCCAGAGAAAUUCCAAGAAUAUUCCAGAUUUUGUACCCCAACGAAGGCGAGAGUAAACGCACUCAGGAAGUCAUGCUGGAACCGGCGCCUUAUGAACGUCCAAGUUACGUCAGCUACAAGGGCCAUGAGUUCAUCCCCACCCUGUAUCACUUCCCCUCCGCCUGCGACGCUUGCACGCGGCCUCUGUGGAACGUCUUCAAGCCUCCGCUGGCCUUCGAGUGCCGCCGCUGCCACGCAAAGUGCCACAAGGACCACGUGGACAAAAAGGAAGAACUAAUCGAGCCCUGCUGGGUGAACUACGACAUGUCCAGCGCCAAAGAGCUGCUGCUGCUGACCAACUCUGUGGAGGAGCAGCAGCGCUGGGUCAGUCACCUCCUCAAACGCAUCCCGAGGAAAAACCCCACGUUGAGCCCGCCUACAGCCCUGCCCUGCCCUCAGGAAUCCUCACCCUGCUCGCCUUCAAGGAUCUCCCCGAGGCCGUCGCCCAGGAACUCUCCUCGCCUGCCCCACCAUCGCGGCGCCAUCAAGAUCCAGUCCACCAAACAUCAGACUUCAGAAAAGUCCAGCACUGGCCCCAUGCUCCGUAUCAUCCUCCACUGACCUCCUCUCCUCUGACCCUACAUUUCUAAAAUCUCUCACGCUUCGAGACUCUAACCCCGGCAGUAUUUCUAUCCGUGUGGAUUAAUGAUGCUCGUCUGGAAGCGGUUGCCUACGCACGAUACCUCCUCACAGAAGUAGGACUGACUAAAAUUCAAAUAAUUAAUGAAUUAAUGCAAAAAAAAAGCCACCACCAUGGACACAAACACUCAGACUGUUGUCAUGAAAACUGGGACUGUAUUUAGUGUUUUCAACGAGAGCCGAAUCAACACGGUCGGAAACAGUCUCGCUUCAAAAGGAUUUUGAACUCAAUUCGUUUUUUUGUUUUGAUUUUUGGGCAUGUGUGUAAAUAGAAAAAACAAAUCUGUUCGUUGUAACAAAGUAUAGCUGAUGCUUGUUGUAUUAUGGGUAUAUUAGAGGCACAUUAUACAAUAAAUGAGUGCCCUGUACAUGUUUGAAUACCGUUUCUAAAUGGAGACUUUAAUUACUUUUGAGCCUUUAUCACCUGGACUUGUUUUACACUAAAUAUAUCCAUCACAACAUUACAGAAUAAUGUGAAAUGUGUUUUUUCUUGCCAUUUAAAUGGACUGUUUGAAAUCCUACAUUCAGGAUUUUUUGCAGGGAGAAACAUUAAAGUAUGAUAAAAAAAAAUAAAAUAAACUGUGUAACUUUA